rfam:Pan troglodytes isolate Yerkes chimp pedigree #C0471 (Clint) chromosome 7, whole genome shotgun sequence.
GCUGGGCGCGAUGGCUCACGCCUGUAAUCCCAGCACUUUGGGAGGCCGAGGCGGGUGGAUCACCUGAGGUCAGGAGUUUGAGACCAGCCUGGCCAAGACGGUGAAACCCCGUCUCUA